rnacentral:rRNA from 1 species
UACGGAGGGUGCGAGCGUUAUUCGGAAUUACUGGGCGUAAAGCGCGUGUAGGCGGCAGGGCAAGUCUGGUGUGAAAGCCCGGGGCUCAACCCUGGAAGGGCACUGGAAACUGUGCGGCUUGAGUGCCGGAGAGGAGGGGGGAAUUCCCGGUGUAGCGGUGAAAUGCGUAGAUAUCGGGAGGAAUACCGGUGGCGAAGGCGCCCCUCUGGACGGUAACUGACGCUGAGGCGCGAAAGCGUGGGGAGCAAACAGG